rnacentral:rRNA from 1 species
ACGCUGGCGGCAUGCCUCAUACAUGCAAGUCGAACGAAAUCUUCGGAUUUAGUGGCGCACGGGUGAGUAACAUGUGGGAAUCUACCUGAAGGUUCGGAAUAACUGCGGGAAACUGUAGCUAAUACCGGAUGUGUCUGCAAAGAGAAAGAUUUAUCGCCUUCAGAUGAGCCCGCACUAGAUUAGCUAGUUGGUGAGGUAACUGCUCCACCAAGGCUACGAUCUAUAGCUGAUUUGAGAGGAUGAUCAGCCACACUGGGACUGAGACACGGCCCAGACUCCUACGGGAGGCAGCAGUAGGGAAUAUUGGACAAUGGGGGAAACCCUGAUCCAGCAAUGCCGCGUGAGUGAAGAAGGCCCUCGGGUUGUAAAACUCUUUCAUCAAUGAUGAUAAUGACAUUAGUUGAAGAAGAAGCUCCGGCUAACUUCGUGCCAGCAGCCGCGGUAAUACGAAGGGGGCUAGCGUUGUUCGGAAUCACUGGGCGUAAAGCGUAUGUAGGCGGAUCAAAAAGUUAGAUGUGAAAUCCCUGGGCUCAACCCAGGAACUGCAUUUAAAACUAGUGAUCUAGAAAUUGGUAGAGGUUAGUAGAAUUUCCAGUGUAGAGGUGAAAUUCGUAGAUAUUGGAAAGAAUACCAGAAGCGAAGGCGACUAACUAGGCCAUUUUUGACGCUGAGAUACGAAAGCGUGGGUAGCAAACAGGAUUAGAUACCCUGGUAGUCCACGCAGUAAACGAUGAGUGCUAGUCGCUGGUGCAAUAGUAUCAGUGUCGUAGCUAACGCAUUAAGCACUCCGCCU